GACGAACGCUGGCGGCGUGCUUAACACAUGCAAGUCGAACGAUGAAGAAGAGCUUGCUCUUCGGAUUAGUGGCGAACGGGUGAGUAACACGUGACUAACCUGCCCCUUUCUCUGGGAUAACGCUCCGAAAGGAGUGCUAAUACCGGAUACUCACAUCGAGGCACAUGCCUUGAUGUGGAAAGUUUUUCGGAAAGGGAUGGAGUCGCGGCCUAUCAGCUUGUUGGUGAGGUAACGGCGCACCAAGGCGACGACGGGUAGCCGGCCUGGGAGGGCGACCGGCCAAACUGGGACUGAGACACGGACCAGACUCCUACGGGAGGCAGCAGUGGGGAAUAUUGCACAAUGGGCGAAAGCCUGAUGCAGCGACGCCGCGUGAGGGAUGAAGGUCUUCGGAUUGUAAACCUCUUUCGGUAGGGACGAAGCGAAAGUGACGGUACCUAAAGAAGAAGCAUCGGCUAACUACGUGCCAGCCGCCGCGGUAA
rnacentral:rRNA from 1 species